GUCUUUAUAGCUCAGUAGUAGAGCAUUAGCCUGAAGAGCUAAGGGUCGUUGGUGCGAUGCCAACUGAAGACA
rnacentral:tRNA from 2 species